GACGAACGCUGGCGGCGUGCUUAACACAUGCAAGUCGAACGGAAAGGCCCUGCUUUUGUGGGGUGCUCGAGUGGCGAACGGGUGAGUAACACGUGAGUAACCUGCCCUUGACUUUGGGAUAACUUCAGGAAACUGGGGCUAAUACCGGAUAGGAGCUCCUGCUGCAUGGUGGGGGUUGGAAAGUUUCGGCGGUUGGGGAUGGACUCGCGGCUUAUCAGCUUGUUGGUGGGGUAGUGGCUUACCAAGGCUUUGACGGGUAGCCGGCCUGAGAGGGUGACCGGCCACAUUGGGACUGGGAUACGGCCCAGACUCCUACGGGAGGCAGAAGUGGGGAAUAUUGCACAAUGGGCGGAAGCCUGAUGCAGCAACGCCGCGUGCGGGAUGACGGCCUUCGGGUUGUAACCCGCUUUCGCCUGUGACGAAGCGUGAGUGACGGUAAUGGGUAAAGAAGCACCGGCUAACUACGUG
rnacentral:rRNA from 1 species